ACACCAGCACCUCAAGUUGUCAGGAGGAUUAUUGGGCCUAAAGCAUCCGUAGCCUGCUCUGUAAGUUUCCGGUUAAAUCCAUUAGCUCAACUGAUGGGCCGCCGGAAAAACUGCAAAGCUAGGGAGUGGGAGAGGUAGACGGUACUCGGUAGGAAGGGGUAAAAUCCUUUGAUCUAUUGAUGACCACCUGUGGCGAAGGCGGUCUACCAGAACACGUUCGACGGUGAGGGAUGAAAGCUGGGGGAGCAAACCGGAUUAGAUACCCGUGUAGUCC
rnacentral:rRNA from 1 species